GCUUGAUUAAGGCUCAGCAGCACCAGAUGGCAGGGAGUCAAUCAUGGAGGACCCCUUUGCAAGGGUCCAGCCCCUGAACAUCUUUAGGGAGAGAUUAACUGGCAUCAGCAUACGCCAGGGUGGGCAUUCCUUCAAACACAGGGGAGGCACUCACUCCAUCUGAAUUUGUUCAGAGGCAUCUGAACAUAGUAAAUUAUUUACACUGGGUAUAGAUCUACAAACACUCGAGCCGCGGCAGCCGCUCGGGCGGAUUGCCCAUGGGAGACGAAUGUGGCCGGGCAUUUGACAAAAGAGCAAGCAAGCGUGGCGAAACUGCAGCGGGCCUGGAAAGGUCAGCUGCCCCCCUCCGGGCACGCUCUGAUAUUUUCAUUAUUGAGGCGAAGAGACGCAUGCACGCCCGCCACCUCUCCCAGCCCAGCGAAUCGUCUGGGGUGCCGUCAACACACUGAAAUAAGCACGCACCACAGAGAGAGGAGGGAGACAGAAAGACGGGGAAGAGGACUGCGACAGAAACAUGGAGAUUGAGACAGGAAGACAGAGACAUGAAGAUGUUGAGAGAGAGAUCACACAUCGAGACGAGGUACAAAGACUGAGAAAUGAAUUGUGGAAAUAAAAGAGAGGGAGCUGCUUUAUUAGUUUUGUUUGCGUUAUAAAAUUGACUCUGCUGCUAAAGGCAACAAUCAGAUAUUCUUUAAUUGUUUUUGUCUGAUACAGAGGAAUCUUGGUUCCAUUUUCAUGCACUGUAUUUCAUGCAGUGAAUUCUCUAGAGAAGUACAGGCCACCAUUAUGUUUUUUCCAAGACUUUUUAACUGGCUAUAACAGACACGAAUAAGUAUGAAGUAGUCAUUUCAUUUUAUCUCACCCUGUUUUAUUUUAUAAAAAAGAAGUUGAGGAGGCAUGUACUUACAUUUACCUGGUAAUAAAUCAGUAUACUUAUUCAAAAUUUUCAAUUAGAAAAUGUAUCAUGUGACACAUUUAUGUUUAUUGUUAUCAUAUCUAUAGAAGUCUUAUUUGUAACAGUCAAACUCUCAACAUAAUGUGGCAGCAUAAAUAAUCCUUUUUGCAUGUAGUCCUUCCUGCUGACCAGUUGAGGGAAAAUUUUCAGCUAAACAGACACUUGUCAAGCAAUUUUCUCUUCACCAACUGUUGCCACCAAUAGGGUAUUUGCUCCGUCCAGUGGAAGGAAAUAGCACUGAGUGGAGGUGCAGAGAGUUCUAGUUCCCUCAUCACAACCUGGCCCUCUGUUUUGCUGCAUCUUUCUGCUCUCAGAAGCAAGCCAUCCUUUCACCCAGGGGAUCUGAAACUUGUCCAAGGCCUAACAGUUCUUUGUUAUUUGAAGUCCUCCAUUAAGAGCCGAUCUUUUUCACUCUGAAAGCUGGAAUCCAUAAGAAGUUGCUACUUUACUGUGUUUUACUGAUUUUAAUCUAAUACCAAAGCUAACCUGAGUCUUUUAUGAAAGUAACCUUUAAGCCGACGAGUCUGCAGCUGAGUCUGAUGGGCUGUUGGAGUGUGCCCCUCUCUGGCCCUGCACCAAGACUGCAGCUGGUGGGCUCUCUCUGUACUGAGUGGUCCCAGGCUCUGGGCCUUUCUUCACACUGACCCUGCUGUGAAUCUAGCAGCAGAGGAGAAGCGCUCGCCCUGACACAGCCUACUGGCCUUUGCCAAAUGAGGCAUCAGAGUCUCUCAAAUACUCCACAAACUGAGCAACAAGAAGGAUAGAAAGGAAAAAAGGAAAGAACGACUUUUCCAGACUCUAAAAUUUCAUACUGAUAUGCUCAAUCUGAUGAUCAGAUAUGCCAUAAACCACAAAUAUGCCACCAGGCAUGGCUAGGACUAGUAUAAUAUAUUUACUAUUUAAACUAUUGUUUUUAGGUUAGGUGCAAAAAUGGUAUUAAGGAGUUUCAAGAGUAUAUUGAAGAGUAUAUUUUCCUUAAAUUAGUUUAUUUUGAUUUCCAAUGAAAAAUAGGUGGGUCUUUCAAAUGUUUUUACAUUUUUAAAGCGAAAGGAUGCUUUUACAUGUGCAAAACCUCUGAAAAUAUAUUACUAAAAUGACCUCCCAACUUCAAUUAACUUAAUCCACAAAGAGAACACCAUAUUCUGUUCGUUGCAAUUUAACAUGAUAACAUUCUUUUAAUAGACCUUUUCAUUCUUUCAAAAUUAUUCCUUUUCCAAAGUGGGAGCUACAUCCCAACUAUUAAACAUUAAAACAAGAUUAUCAUUCUGCAGCUAAAUGACUAAGGUUCAGUUCAUUUGUGACAGAAUGAUAUCAUUUUAAAUAUUUGAUAUCAAACUGGAUUAAAAUAAGGUUUACUUCUCUGGCUACCGUUUUCAAUACAAUCACAUCUUAGUCUCUGUGGUGUAGCACGUGUUAGGAAUGUCAAAAUCUAGGUUGCUAUUAGAACUUGACUUUUGCCACAAGCGAACACAGCACUCCUGCUCCCCUUCUAGAAAUCCCACAAUGGAACACAAUGCAGGCGGAAUUGAAGUCAUGCUGAGGUCAUGGACUCCCUUGUGUGUGAGACAGCACAGACAAUGGAGAAGGUCUGGAUGAAGGACAGGGCUCACUGAUAGUGGGGAGCAGAAGAAGAUGGGAACAACAUGUAUCUCUUGCCAUCUUCCAACCUCUAGCCAGUCUAUAGGAUGAGUUAUCUUUGGCCUACAAAACAAUGAAAAAGUAUGAAGCAGGUUGCCAAAAAGGCACUGUGUUGAACAGUCAUGCGGCAUGAAUGGCGCAUCCUUGUUCAAAAUCAAAAGCAGACAGACUUGGAAGGUUCUGUUUUUUCUCUGUUCUUUAUAUUUAAAUGACACAACAAGCUCAUUAGGACUCUGCAUUAACUGACUUUAAACCUCCCCCUCUCAUCAUUAGUUGCCGCGGCAAGGCUCGGAGGCAGACCGCCGCAGCCCGGCCCAGUGCGUGCGGUUUGAUGAGCGUGGCACUCCCUCACCCCAAACAUGUCUCAUUAAGAGUUCAGUAGAAGCACCUCCAGCACCACACACAUCCCCUCCCUCCCUGGGCACGUUCCCCAUCUUUUUCAGCUGCUAAUUAGGCACCUACCCCCGCCCCUCUCUGCACAUCCCCUGUUACUUCUGAGAAGGAGACGGAUAUGAUUUUUCUUGAACCCAAAGGCCAACUUAAUCAGCUGAAUUAAUGACUUUAUUACCCGUAGUACCCCGAGCAAUACAGCCCAUACACACCAACAGCAUGCUCCUGCCUGCUUUGCUCCCUGCUUUCUUGCAGGUUUGCAUGCCGUUCGAGCCCCAGUGUCCGCUUGCUUUUGUUUUUGAAAAUGUUUAAAUACAUACAAUGCUUUAAAUAAAAACACAGGCAGUUUUGAGUGAUUUGGAGUGGUCUCUCCGACCUUAUCCAAGUCUAUAUCUAUUUUCAGAUGUCAUUCCAGGAGGAGAGCAUUUGUGCCAAAUGGCUCUAAUACCACACUUGUUCAGUAAUCUCUGCAAAUUGCUACUGAAUGCUUGGCAAUGGGAAAUGAGACAGUGAAAUGAGACAGUGAAAGAUCUGUGUGAUGGGAGGUUAAUUGUCUUAACUGUAGCUGUGGAACAGGUGUUCACGAACAUUUCAAUUCACUAAAGCUUUCAUUAUUUUCAAACAUCGUUUUCACAUAUACAUUCUAUAAUUGCACUCCUUUAGUUAAUGAUGAAAAAGUG